AUGGGGGAGGGUCGCCAGCUCGAGGGAGAGGGUCGCCGGCCUGGGAAGGGAGGGGGGUCGCCGGCUCUGGAGGGGAGGGAGGUCGCCGGCUCAAGAGGGGAGAUGGUCGGGACGGGAGACACAAGGGGAGGAAAGAGAAGAGAUGGAGAGGAAGAAGAAAGAGAAGAGGAAGAGGAAACUUACAAGUGGGCCCCACAUCCAAUUAAUGUUGCCUCGUACCGCAAUGGUGAGAGGCUGAGAGCGAGGUCGUUGGUGACUCAAACGACAUGGCUCCUCAAGAUACGACCGCUGCAGCUGUACGAGAGGCAGAGGGUGUGGUCGUCAACAACUCAAAAGGCUCUUGCUGGACUCGAAACAGUCACCCUGGCAUGGCACAUGUUGACGGAGUCAACUCCCGUGCCGCUUAAUAUACGGGAGCGUCAUGCACGCUUGGCACCGAUCGUGAUGAGCACUGACGGGGCUGAUUCCGGCCUACAGGUAGCUCGGUCACAAAGACCAACCAUCCAUGGAGGCUUGGGCAUUCUUGAUUUCGAGCGUUUCAGUCGGGCUCUGAGACUGAGAUGGCUCUGGAUUGCUUGGACAGACCCUGGCCGCCUGUGGGUGGGCACUGUGUCGCCUUGCUGCGAUCAGGACAUAGCCCUCUUCGCAGCUACAACCACAGUGACAAUCGGGGACGGCUCGACGGCUUUGUCCUGGCAGUCCCGAUGGAUCGGUCCUUGCACCCUUGCAGCAGCUUACGCAGGCCUCUACAACCACCCCAAGCGAAAGAGACGGGCCGUGCGAGAAGCGAUCAGGGACGACAAUUGGAUUAAAGAUUUGAGGCACGGAGACAUGCACUCGUUGCUGCCAGAGUUCAUUCGGCUCAACCGUCAGAUCAUUGCUGCUGCCACAGUAUUCAGCGAAGGCACCCGAGACACCAUCCGUUUCAGGGCUAGCUCCGAUCCGACACGGGCGACCUUGUAUGGAAGACAUGGGCACCGGGAAACAUCAAGUUCUUCACUUGGUUGCUGCUCAAGGAUCGCCUCUAGACAAAUGAUCGCCUCCAACGACGCGGUUGGCCCAACAGCUACUUCUGCCAACUCUGUGUCCGAAGUUUGGAAUCGGUGCACCACUUGUUCUGUGCCAGCUGCACCUUCAGAGACAAGCUACCAGCACACAUGGACAUCAAGAGAGCCAUUAGCAACUCUGUCGAGCUUUGGCGACAAGCUGGAGCCAUUGGACUGUAGAGCCCCUUCUGGGAUCCAUCACAUAGCUUGCACUACCUGGAGGGUGAGCCGAUGCGCGUGCAGUUUGAGUAGUGGACCGUCGACGCCAUGGACGAACCUCGUCUUUGCCGGCUAUAUGCACGACGCUACGGACGGGAGUCGGGAGGUGUGCGACAUCCAGGAGCGCCACGCCCCCGUGUACAUCGAGGGGGCUCGUCGACAGCAUGACGGAGCCGCAGCCGAGCUACACGGCAUUCCGGAUUUGCUAACGGGAUGA
rnacentral:rRNA from 1 species